UGGCGGCAUGCCUUACACAUGCAAGUCGAACGGCAGCACGGGAGCAAUCCUGGUGGCGAGUGGCGAACGGGUGAGUAAUAUAUCGGAACGUGCCCAGUCGUGGGGGAUAACGUAGCGAAAGCUACGCUAAUACCGCAUACGAUCUAUGGAUGAAAGCGGGGGAUCGCAAGACCUCGCGCGAUUGGAGCGGCCGAUAUCAGAUUAGGUAGUUGGUGAGGUAAAGGCUCACCAAGCCGACGAUCUGUAGCUGGUCUGAGAGGACGACCAGCCACACUGGGACUGAGACACGGCCCAGACUCCUACGGGAGGCAGCAGUGGGGAAUUUUGGACAAUGGGCGAAAGCCUGAUCCAGCAAUGCCGCGUGCAGGAAGAAGGCCUUCGGGUUGUAAACUGCUUUUGUACGGAACGAAAAGGUGAGCUCUAAUACAGUUUGCUAAUGACGGUACCGUAAGAAUAAGCACCGGCUAACUACGUG
rnacentral:rRNA from 1 species